rnacentral:rRNA from 1 species
GACGAACGCUGGCGGCGUGCUUAACACAUGCAAGUCGAACGGAAAGGCCCUGCUUUUGUGGGGUGCUCGAGCGGCGAACGGGUGAGUAACACGUGAGUAACCUGCCCUUGACUUUGGGAUAACUUCAGGAAACUGGGGCUAAUACCAGAUAGGAGCUCCUGCUGCAUGGUGGGGGUUGGAAAGUUUCGGCGGUUGGGGAUGGACUCGCGGCUUAUCAGCUUGUUGGUGGGGUAGUGGCUUACCAAGGCUUUGACGGGUAGCCGGCCUGAGAGGGUGACCGGCCACAUUGGGACUGAGAUACGGCCCAGACUCCUACGGGAGGCAGCAGUGGGGAAUAUUGCACAAUGGGCGGAAGCCUGAUGCAGCAACGCCGCGUGCGGGAUGACGGCCUUCGGGUUGUAAACCGCUUUCGCCUGUGACGAAGCGUGAGUGACGGUAAUGGGUAAAGAAGCACCGGCUAACUACGUG